GCACAUGACGACCCUGAUUCCUCUCCUUUCAUCUCCUGUCUCCUCCCCUGCGUAACCGCGUCUAGGGUUCGCCGCCGCCGGAAGCCCUGCCACCGCCGUCGUCGGAAGCCCUACCACCACCGCCGUGUGGGAUGCCGCCUCCCCUUCUGCUUCGUGGCGCCGCCCCCGCCGCAUGGAUCGUGGGCCGCCGCGGCUGCCGCCGCAUGUUCCGGCGCCGCCCCGUGCUGAUUCGUGGCGCCGCCGCCCCUGUUUCCUGUAGCGCCUCCGCCCUGUGUUGAUUCUGUCCUCCGAAGUCCCUACUGCAUCCCCCGUUGCAAUAUGCAUUUUGGCAUGUUUUUGUGAGAUUUUACAGUGGAUUUGUUUUGUGAUAAAUGAUGGCAAAUGUCUGACAUGAUUGCAAAUACUCCUUGGAAUACCAUGGUACAAUGCCACAAUACGAG
rnacentral:lncRNA from 1 species